rnacentral:rRNA from 1 species
CACGGGGGGAGCAAGCGUUGUUCGGAAUUACUGGGCGUAAAGCGCGUGUAGGCGGCGGCGUAAGUCGAAUGUGAAAGCCCUUGGCUUAACCAAGGAAGUGCAUUCGAUACUGUGUCGCUUGAGUACCGGAGGGGAUGGCGGAAUUCCUGGUGUAGAGGUGAAAUUCGUAGAUAUCAGGAGGAACACCUGUGGCGAAGGCGGCCAUCUGGACGGUGACUGACGCUGAGACGCGAAAGCGUGGGUAGCAAACAGG